rnacentral:rRNA from 1 species
UACAGAGGUGCAAGCGUUGUUCGGAAUUAUUGGCGUAAAGGCGCGUAGGCGGUUUGUCGCGUCUGCCGUGAAAGUCCGGCUCAACUCCGGAUCUGCGGUGGUACGGCAGACUAGAGUGAUGUAGGAGACUGGAAUUCCUGGUGUAGCGGUGAAUGCGCAGAUAUCAGGAGGAACACCGAUGCGAAGCAGGUCGCUGGACGGUACUGAGCUGAGGCGCGAAAGCGUGAGCGAACAGG